AGAUGAGGGAACUGAGUCACAGAGAAGUGAAGAGACUCGCCCGAGGUCCACCCAGCAGACAAGUGGCAGAGCCGGGAUUAGAACCCGUGACCUCCUGACCCCCAGGCCCGUGCUCGGUCCACUGAGCCACGCUGCUUCCCUCUACAAGCAAAUGGGGUUGGACACAGUCCCCUGUCCCACGUGGGGCUCUCAGUCCCCAUUCAUUCAUUCAUUCAUUCAUUCAAUCGGUCGUAUUUAUUGAGCGCUUACUAUGUGCGGAGCCCUGUACCGAGCUCUUGGUAGAGGCCAGUGCGACAAUAAGCAGCCACAGUCCCUGCCCGCAACGACCUUACAGUCUCUAUCAUUUUUCAGAUGAGGGAACCCGAGGCCCAGGGAACUGAAGCGACUUGCCCGGGGUCGCCCGGCGGCCAAGCGGCAGAGCCGGGAUUAGAACCCACGACCUUCUGACCCCCCCCCCCCCCCCCCCCCCCCCAGGCCGUUACGGCGACUCCGAUUAUGACGGUUUGGGUUUCUGUUCGGCAGGAAGGCGGCGUCAGCGGAUUUCUCCACGCCUUCAUCGCGGAAGUGUUCGCCAUGGUGCGGGCCCACGUGGCCGCGCUGGGGGGCAACGCCGUGGUCUCCUACAUCAUGAAGCAGUGCGUCUUCAUGGAGAAUCCAAACAAGAACCAGGCCCAGUGCCUCAUCAACGUCAGCGGGGACGCCGUCAUCUUCGUCCGCGAAUCCGAAUCGGAGACGGCGCCGGCCACCGGCUACCAGCCCGCUCCGGCCACCCCGGCGGCCACCCCGGCCCCCGUCACCGCCUGAGCCGCGCGCCGGACGGUCCCGGAGCCCACCCCCUCCUCCUCCUUCGGAUCCCGCGGUCAUUCGUCGGGUCGCACGUCCGGGACCUCGGGGGGGGGGGGGGGGGGGGGGGCAGACGGACACCCGGAAGGGCUCCGGCCGACGAGAGGUGCCCUCGGCCCGUCGAAAUCCAGCCGGGAGCCGGGGGCGGGGGAUCCGGGCCUGGCGGACACCCGCCCGGACGGCGGGAGCGUCAAGCCAGUCUCGGCCGCUGACGACGACGCUCCGGAAGGAGGGAGGGCGAUGGGAGCGGGCUCCGCAUUUUUCCAAAUAAGUAAAUCACCAAGCAGGUCAUUUACCUAACCGGUGAUCGACCAAAUAAGACGGGAAGCCAACCCGAGAAGCCCCGGCCCGGCUGCCCCGAGGCCACGGAGGGCAGAGCGUCCGACACGGCGACGGGGUUCUCUCUCUUCGGAGCGGGAAGCCGGAGAGACGGUUCUGGGAAGCUGGGGAGCCAAACCCGAAAAGCUCCUAGUCGACUGAGCAAUCUGGUGACCGCCGAAAGGGGAAGCAGUUUCUUUACAAGCCUUUGUUGUUGUAUUUUAACUUUCGAAACGCUUGAAAGUAUAAUAAUUGUUAGGCCAGGACUGUCGUGACGCAGAAGGGAGUUUACCGGUGUCAGUGCAUUUCGUUGUAAGCGUCUGUCAUUUUUGAGGGAAUGGAAAGGUUAAUUUAUGGCUUACUCCAGAAAUACAGAUAUUUUGUUCGGUCGGUCCUGGCUGGGUAAAUUGGAAAGCAAGAUAGGUUUCCUGUAGCAUUCCUUUCUAGCAGGCCAAGUCCAAUUCUGGGAAGAAAAAAAUAAUUGGAGAAAAUAGAGGCAGGGAGAAAAGCACAUUUCUAGCCAACUCUUCGACUUGGGUUAAUUAAAAUAAAAAGGAAAGAUGUAGAUCGGUUGUGGAUGGUGAGGUUUGGACCGCGCUGGAUGUGGAAUGUGGAAUACGAAACUUGAAUGUAAAUAUGCUGCAGCGUUGACUUAAGGCAUAGGAAUGAUUCGUUUCUGUCAAUGCCAAAUUCCCAAUGUAAAUGAUCGUCCCAAGGCACAUUCCUCUUUGCACAAUAAAAUUUCUUUAUGAAACUUCAGCUUUCGGUGGGACGCCUGCAGAAUCAACAGCUCGACGGUAAGGAUGUAUUAUCAGUAUGCAUUCAUUCAGUCGUAUAUAUUGAGCGCUUACUGUGUGCAGAGCACUGUACUAAGCGCUUGGAAAGUACAAUUUGGCAACGAACAGAGGCAGUCCCUACCCACCAGCGGCCUCACAGUCUAGAAGCGGGGAGACAGACAGGAAAAGAAAACAAGUAGACAGGCAUCCAUAGCAUCAGUAUAAAUAAAUAGAAUUAGAGGUAUAUACACAUCAUUAAUAAAAUCGAAUAAUAAAUAUAGACAUAGAUACACAAGAGCUGUGGGGCAAGAAGGGGAACAGAGCAGAGGGAGGGAGUCGGGGCGACGGGAAGGGGAGGAGGAGCGGAGGGAAAGGGGGGCUCGGGCGGGGAAGGCCUCCCGGAGGAGGUGAGCUCUCAGGAGGGCUUUGAAGAGGGGAAGAGAGGGAGUUGGGCGGAGGCGAGGAGGGAGGGCGUUCCGGGACGGCGGGAGGACGCGGGCCGGGGGUCGAC
rnacentral:lncRNA from 1 species